rnacentral:rRNA from 1 species
AUUGAACGUUGGUGGCAUGCUUUACACAUGCAAGUCGAACGGUAGAGGGGGCAACUCCUUGAGAGUGGCGAACGGGUGAGUAAUGCGUCGGAACGUGCCCAGUCGCGGGGGAUAACGCAGCGAAAGCUGUGCUAAUACCGCAUACGAUCUCUGGAUGAAAGCGGGGGACCGAAAGGCCUCGCGCGAUUGGAGCGGCCGAUGUCAGAUUAGGUAGUUGGUGGGGGAAAGGCUCACCAAGCCAACGAGCUGUAGCUGGUGUGAGAGGACGACCAGCCACACGGGGAAUGAGGCACGGCCCAGACUCCUACGGGAGGCAGCAGUGGGGAAUUUUGGACAAUGGGCGCAAGCCUGAUCCAGCAAUGCCGCGUGCAGGAAGAAGGCCUUCGGGUUGUAAACUGCUUUUGUACGGAACGAAAAGGUCUGGGUUAAUACCCUGGGCACAUGACGGUACCGUAAGAAUAAGCACCGGCUAACUACGUGCCAGCCGCCGCCGUAA